ACUUAGGGCUUGAUUACUCGGGACCAAAAAACCCUACCUCUUCUUUCUCUCCCGACGCCGUUCUCUGCUCGAAUGAAAACACAAAAGAGGGCUUAGGGCUUCACUCCGGCGGCCGGCCAAGGCAAGGUUCUAUGGAUUCUUCACACCGCCGAGCUCCUCUUGACGAGGAGAAAUCUGGAGCACGAGGAGGAGCCGCGAUUUCGAGUCUUCCGAUUAGAGCUCCGAGACUUAGAAGUCCUCCUUGCGUUUGGUUGUAAGUCCAAGAACGCUAGAUAAAGGAAAAGCUAAAGUAUAAGGAAGAAGGCGACAAGGAGAUGCUGUGACGAUAAAGGAAAGGAAUAGUUAUGGCAAAGGAAGGCGACAAGGAGGUGCGGAUGGAUGUGUGAUGCCCGGACUAUAGAAGCCUUCGGAUCUAGUUUAAGAUUUUAUUAAGAUAUUUGGUAUUUAAACUAUGGGGAUUGUUUAUUCAUGUAGAUAAUUUAAUUCAUAAGACGACUUUAUGUACUUAGGAUUCCUUCAUUGUUAUGCACAUUAGACCUAUCAUCUGAGUUGUAUAAUGGAUGCAUGCAUGUUUAGAUUAAUACAUAUAUUUCAGCAUGAUUAGAUUGAUA